AUGACAUUAAUCAUGUAAGUAUGGAUUCAAAGUAUGGUGUGAAACUCCCGAAGCAGUUGACGGGGUUUGUGCCUGGAAUGUCGGCUAUAUUGGCUGGUCAAACGGCGUAUGAUUUGUAUUACUUUAAUAAGUCGCUUGAGAGGAUGGAGUUUGAGAAGAUGAGAGCUGGGAAGCAUCGAUAGUUUAGAGUUUAUUCGAUGCUUUUGUUAACUGGAGCAAUGUUGUUGACGAUGGUAACUGCCUAUGAUUUUCACAUGGACUUUGAGAAGAAAAGGAAAACUCUCUGUUUUGAGAAUGGUAAACUCUCUCCACUCUUCUUCUUUACUCAUUCUACACUAUGUUGCUUUCAAUCUCCCUUGCUAUCUUUUUCCUACCUCAUUCAAUGGGCAAAUUAGAUUUAUGUCGUGUCAAUGUGACAAUGUGUUUGAUUACUUUGAUUCAUUCAUUCUUAUCCCGUAAUAAUGUAGACGGUUUUACCAAAUAAAAAAUGGUACAUAUCUCUCCCAAAUGCAAUAUAUUCAAAAGCAUCUCAACCGUACACGUGCCGCUUAAACCAUGCAGAUCGCGUGAGAUUAAAACACAUCUCUGAUGAUUGAGUCUCUCAAAAAAAAAAAAUUGCAGAAACAACAAAUCAACCAAAUACAUCGAGGCUGUGAAUUGUAAUGGCCGUCGCUAUUCAAAACUAUGUCAAGUGCCUUGCGGCUUUGACUGGAUUGACCGGGGGCUCUUCCUAUUGGUUUUAUCAUGACAUGAAAUCAAAGUAUGGUGAGAAAUAUCCGGAUACUUUUACGACGUUCAUGACUGGACAUGUGGCAUUUGCGGCUGGAGCCACGGCGCAUCUAUUGUAUGUCAUUAAUAAGAACCUUGCUCUGGUGGGAGACAUGGAUAAGAAGGCGCUUGCGGCGCUAACAAUUAGGAAGUCUCCAACCACAUUUUUAAUGUAUACGGCUGGAAAUGUGAUGUUGGUGGCCUCUCGUCUUAGUUCCUUCGAGAAAGACCUUCUUAAGACGACAACGAAGCUGGAAAAGUCGCAGUCUGAGAUAUUCAUUUUAUUGUUUUUCCAAAUUUUAUUUUCAUUUCCGUGGUUUCCUUUUCAGUUGCUAGGCUAUGAAUAGUUGAUUUGUAAUCGGUUUUCAUUAUUGAAUAAAAUUUACGUUUUCAAGAAA